UACGUAGGGGGCAAGCGUUGUCCGGAUUUAUUGGGCGUAAAGAGCGUGUAGGCGGCUAGAUAGGUCCGUUGUGAAAACUCGAGGCUCAACCUCGAGACGUCGAUGGAAACCAUCUGGCUAGAGUCCGGAAGAGGAGAGUGGAAUUCCUGGUGUAGCGGUGAAAUGCGCAGAUAUCAGGAAGAACACCCGUGGCGAAGGCGGCUCUCUGGUACGUGACUGACGCUGAGACGCGAAAAGCGUGGGGGAGCAAACAGG
rnacentral:rRNA from 1 species